rnacentral:rRNA from 1 species
UACGAAGGGGGCUAGCGUUGCUCGGAAUUACUGGGCGUAAAGCGCACGUAGGCGGCUUUCUAAGUCGGGGGUGAAAUCCUGGAGCUCAACUCCAGAACUGCCUUCGAUACUGGAGAGCUCGAGUCCGGGAGAGGUGAGUGGAACUGCGAGUGUAGCGGUGAAAUUCGUGAGAUAUUCGCAAGAACACCAAGUAGGCGAAGGC